rnacentral:misc_RNA from 1 species
UGACCUCAAUUCAGCCAGCGA